CAGAAAUUAUCUCUCGCUGGGCUGACCGUAUGGAUAAAGUUGAAGUUACUUUUAGUGAAAAUUCUUAUACACCAUGAGAUCAAACUUAUGAACCUACAUCAGUGUCUUAUUGUCAAGAAUGGGACAAGCUUAGUGUUGCUUCAUCUAACGGGAAGGAGCUAAUCCUAGCACGAUUCAAGUUGCUGAAGACGUUGAUUUGACUCUAACGACUAACACAGAGACACUGGAACAAGAUGACAAGUCACUAAAGAAGCUAGGGCCUCAACACAAGAUGGCCUCAUAUUGUUAUAGUAAAGGAACCACUGGAGCAUUUUUUAUAUUAACAACAGCUACAUUUCUUAUCUUUCUUACGAGGGAUUUGUAACGAGCUUGGAGUCUUGAGAGAACUAUACAGUAUUUCUCUAUCAAUGGAAUUUUGAGUAGAAGAGCUACAUUUAAAAACUUGGCAGACUACGAUUGACUGACUUCGAGACAGUGAUGUUUUAGAAAUUGUUUAAGAGAAGAUGCUCAUUGAAGUUGUUUCCAUUAGUUAUGAGGAGCCACGCCCACUUGUAAAAAAAUGAGAGAGAUGAUGUUAGCAGGUGUUGUGUUGAAGCUAAAAUAAAAAUUAAGUCUUCUGUUGAUAGUGUCAGUCCCUAUAUUGAUUCGCUCUUUUAGUCAAAUUUUACAUUUCAAUCAGACCUUUCAACCUUUACCUGAAGCAGAUGUGUAUCAUCUGUCAG